AUGCUUCCUUCUAGGAGGUUCCUGUCUAAGUUCAGUGCUUCCAACCGGAUACAUGCACCAAGUGCGGAUGGGAUUUUGCCUCUGAGUUUGUUGUGCGAAAGGUUCAAGGAGCCAAGGUUUAUCAAGCUACCAAUUUCCAGAGGUAUGGACUCUGUGAACUGGUUAUGUGAUAGGUCAAGUAACCAACUCAGUUGGUUCAACUUGCUAAACACGCGCCCAUUGAUACUUCCGUUGAGGCCAUUGCUGGAAAGGUUUAGUGCCACCAAUUUCUGGCAGCCAGCUAAACUUGUGGAAUUUCUCCGGAGAACUUGUUCCGUGAUAGGCUAA
rnacentral:rRNA from 1 species